rnacentral:rRNA from 1 species
GAUGAACGCUAGCGGGAGGCCUAACACAUGCAAGCCGAGCGGUAUUGUUUCUUCGGAACUGAGAGAGCGGCGUACGGGUGCGUAACACGUGUGCAACCUGCCUUUAUCUGGGGGAUAGCCUUUCGAAAGGAAGAUUAAUACUCCAUAAUAUAUUGAACGGCAUCGUUUAAUAUUGAAAGCUCCGGCGGAUAGAGAUGGGCACGCGCAAGAUUAGCUAGUUGGUGAGGUAACGGCUCACCAAGGCGAUGAUCUUUAGGGGGCCUGAGAGGGUGAUCCCCCACACUGGUACUGGGACCCGAACCAGACUCCACGGGAGGCAGCAGUGAGGAAGAUGGGUCAAUGGGUGCAAGCCUGAACCAGCCAUCCCGCGUGAAGGACGACUGCCCUAUGGGUGGUAAACUUCUUUUGUAUAGGGAUAAACCUACCCUCGUGAGGGUAGCUGAAGGUACUAUACGAAUAAGCACCGGCUAACUCCGUG